GACGAACGCUGGCGGCGUGCUUAACACUUGCAAGUCGAACGGAAAGGCCCUGCUUUUGUGGGGUGCUCGAGUGGCGAACGGGUGGGUAACACGUGAGUAACCUGCCCUUGACUUUGGGAUAACUUCAGGAAACUGGGGCUAAUACCGGAUAGGAGCUCCUGCUGCAUGGUGGGGGUUGGAAAGUUUCGGCGGUUGGGGAUGGACUCGCGGCUUAUCAGCUUGUUGGUGGGGUAGUGGCUUACCAAGGCUUUGACGGGUAGCCGGCCUGAGAGGGUGACCGGCCACAUUGGGACUGAGAUACGGCCCAGACUCCUACGGGAGGCAGCAGUGGGGAAUAUUGCACAAUGGGCGGAAGCCUGAUGCAGCAACGCCGCGUGCGGGAUGACGGCCUUCGGGUUGUAAACCGCUUUCGCCUGUGACGAAGCGUGAGUGACGGUAAUGGGUAAAGAAGCACCGGCUAACUACGUG
rnacentral:rRNA from 1 species